CAUUAAUGAUGAAUCUAUCCCGAACCUGACCUAGAACUGAUUGAUAAUUCUUUUCGGAUCUGACUGCUGAAAU
rnacentral:snoRNA from 1 species